ensembl:snRNA U6 U6 spliceosomal RNA
AUAACUUGUUUCAGUGUUAAGAAUGCCAAACUUGGAACAAUAUACAGAAGAUCAGCAUGGCUUUUUGUCAGGAUAACAAGAAAAUUCAUGACACAUUCCAGAUUUUU